rnacentral:rRNA from 1 species
UGUGUAGGCGGUGCUCUAAGUUCGGUGUGAAAUCUCCCGGCUUAACUGGGAGGGUGCGCUGGAAACUGGAGUGCUCGAGCGUGGGAGAGGAAAGCGGAAUUCCUGGUGUAGCGGUGAAAUGCGUAGAUAUCAGGAGGAACACCUGCGGUGUAGACGGCUUUCUGGACCAUUGCUGACGCUGAGACACGAAAGCGUGGGUAGCAAACA